UUCACUCAAGAUUCAACAGCAGAUCUCAAACACGUAAUGACGAACACUUUAGUAUUUUGACUUUCGUACAUGCAUUCAGUAGCAUCCAGCUACAUUAGUAAACAUUAUUUACAUGUAAGACAAUAAUAUUUUUUGUUCAAACUAAGCUAAACAAAUGGUUUGAGGUAUGAAUACAAGAAACAUCAUGUAGACUUCAAGUGCUAUCAUGUAGACGUCAAGUGCUAUCAUGUAGAAGAAACAUCGUGUAGAGAGUAGCACAGAAGAUAUUCCAACGAUGAUGCCAACCUGAAAGGAGAAGAUGGUAGAUCUGCUAUAAGCUAAUAACCUUGGUAAACUAUCUAUAUUUUUUUGACUAUAUUUUUUAAAAAAAAAUUGACUAUAACUAUCUAUAUUGUAGCACAAAAAAUGGAGAUAGGCUCAGACAUCAAACACUAAUGGCUCGCCUCUUGAGGGGGGAUUUCACAUGCCGGAGGAUAUGGGAACAGAAUUGAUAGCAAAGUUUGCCAGGAACCUGCGUGAAUAAAUCCAUUAAAUAUCGUGCCCUAAUAUGUUCUUGGCUCCACUACUAGUACUUGUCCUGACAUAAAUUUGCUUGCAAACAUACUAGCUGAAUUAUUGAAUAUUACUUCUAAAGCGAUGAAACUUACACAAAUAAUAGACACCAAAAGGUCGGCCAAACUUUGGUGAAGCCCGGCAAAUGAGCAUAAGAUAUGCAUAUAUGUAACUGCAGAGAAAAUAGUUAGUUCAAGGUAUUGGAAGGAUAUAAAAGAUCUGCAUCCAGCGACAUAAACAAAGUUAUACAAAUCCAGUCUUUCUAAUCAAUUUAAGAAUUCAUCACAAAUUUUCCUCCAUGCACAAGACUUCGAGUACGUGAGAUAGGAUCAGAUAAUAUCUCAAUUCUCCUCCAUGCACAAGACUUCGAGUUGUAGUGAACUCGAUUCCUAAAGCUUUGUCUAGAAAUAACAAAAAUAUACAUGAGAUAGGAUCAGAUAAUAUCAAGGCGUUACUAUUCCAAAGCAAGUAGUCAUAUCAUGUUUUAAACCAGAUGCGUAGCUAACAGAAAACCUAUUUCUGCUAGCAUCAUUUUCAGCUCAGUGUGUAUCUACAACAAGAUUCCUGAUGUGUACAAAAUACUUAACAGUGUAAUGCCAGGUCAGCCACUUUUUACACAUGAAAAAAAUACUGGACUGUGUGUAGGAAUACAAGAUAAGGCAUCACAUAUGCACUCCAUAAAUGAUUAUAUGGCAGGAGGCCUGCGACUCUGUUUCAAGUACUACCCAAUAACAAAAGACUCAGCUUCAGAAAACACAGGGCAUGCAAAAGCUCAGUUCCAGGACAUGUAAAAGCUUCCAAUAGUUGUAUGCAUAAAAAUGCUAAGCAAAUUCAGAACAUGCAUACAUACACAUGCCAAGCAAAAUCUCGGCUCAUAUGUUUACUGCAGUUUUAUUUGCAUGAAGCAUAUAAGAAACGAAAUGCUAAAUAAGUUUCAAUGUUCUGAAAUAGCAGCAAACAUGUAUCCAAAAGCAAAAUACUGAAUCUAAGACUUAACUACCAAGAUUAUUACCUCCUCAGCUUGCUUGUGGUUGCCUACUCAUGUUGCUGCUUUUGCCAUGAAGUUAUAAGUCAUUCUCAGCUGCAUAUAUAGAAGCAAAGACUUUUAAGCUAUCAACCAUAAUAGUCAUUGGUAAAUAUAUAAUCAUAAGAGCAUAAGCUUAUGUGCUUGUAUGGAGUAGUCGACGCUGCUUGGUGGAGAGGACAAACAAGAUGCACACUGCUCACAAAACAAACAAUCUAAAAUAUUAUUUCAGUGAAAGCAUCAAAUGAAAAUUAGGGAACAGUUUGUAAGAAUUACAUAUAGGAGAAAAGAGCAUGGUAGUCAGCUAGCCCCAUGACCCAAUUCUCAAAAAAAUUCUACUUAGGAGCAUAUCUCCCAAUUUCCAUUACUGAAAACAUCACAUGUCUCAAGUUCGUCCCUCUCCAGGGGUACCUCAAAACAUCAGAAACUAAGCCACACACACCAGCACUACUACCAAACUACACGCAGAACCUAAACAACGAGCAUCCAAACGUUCUAAUUAUCAGCAACAAUACUACCAGGGUUAUAUUACUUGCACGUGGCACUGCGAGUAGGUCUUUUCUAAAAUCUGAACCACAGGCACAUCUUAAGCUAUUUACCAUCUCUGUGAACAUAGCUUUGGUUGAAUUUGUUCUUAAGCGUUAAGCUAAAUAAAAACAGUUUUAAGAACAGGGGAUCUGGUAGUUCAAUAAGUCAUGAUGCCAUGCAAUUUCCAGUAGGGGCUACAGUACAAAACCCAAUUGCUCUCAUUUUACUCUAGAAAAUUAAAUUAUCAGGCAAAUGUUUUUCAAUUCAAUAAUAAAGGUUGCAACACUUGAAGGGAUUUCUACUAUGAUAGACAACUACUGAUAAUUAAAUUCCUGAGUCACAUGACUGGGAGCAGUGGCAAACUGGCAAUAGAAAAUUAUAGAAGAAAAUUCCAGAUCAGACCCCAUAUAUCUAUUUUCAUAAAACUAUCACAUUCACUAGUUAAAAUUAUUAAACUCUAGAAGCGUUACUUCACUUUCAGUCUACAUGUGCAGAAAAAAUAGACAGAAAGAAGUUCUCUAGCUAUAUGUGCAGCACGACCUUGAAACUUAAUUUGCCGAAGCUUGCAUGUAGUACACCUACUGGGAUUCACUGAUUUAAUAUGUAGUCGAAGCAUCCAUUUGCUGCAAUGGAAGAUCUCUUCACCAUAAGCAAAACUUGGGCUAUCGGAUGACAAAGCUAGUCGUUAUCUUCAGAACUGUAGUGUCAUAUAAACUCAAACACUUUCUGAAGUCAUUCUAGUUACUGCUCAGAAGAAAAAAGGAACAGAAGUUUGCAAAGAUUGAAAUCUCACCGGCCAAGUGCUCUCGGUGAGCAAGGAGGCGGGGCUGCACCUGGGGGAGGAUGUAGAUGAGGUGGAGCUUCUCGGGAGAGGGGCCGUACAGGAAGGUCCAUUGCUCGGGUGAGGGAACCAGGAGGCGGCCCAACUUAGUGCUCGGGGAAGGAUGCUCGUGGAGGAGG
rnacentral:lncRNA from 1 species